UACGUGAGCCCCAAGCGUUAUCCGGAAUUAUUGGGCGUAAAGAGUGCGUAGGCGGUUGUGUUAGUCUUCUGUUUAAUCCUUCGGCUCAACCGGAGAACUGCAGAGGAAACGGCACAACUGGAGUAUGUGAGAGGUGUGCGGAACUCAUGGUGUAGGGGUGAAAUCCGUUGAUAUCAUGGGGAACACCAAAUGCGAAGGCAGCACACUGGCACAUUACUGACGCUGAGGCACGAAAGCGUGGGUAGCGAAUGGG
rnacentral:rRNA from 1 species